rnacentral:rRNA from 1 species
AGCGAACGCUGGCGGCAGGCUUAACACAUGCAAGUCGAGCGGGCAUCCUUGUGGUGUCAGCGGCAGACGGGUGAGUAACGCGUGGGAACGUGCCCUUCGGUUCGGAAUAACUCAGGGAAACUUGAGCUAAUACCGGAUAUGUGCGAGAGCAGAAUGGUUUCUAUGCCGAAGGAUCGGCCCGCGUCUGAUUUGCUAGUUGGUGAGGUUACGGCGCACCAAGGCGACGUUCAGUAGCUGGUCUGAGAGGAUGGUCAGCCACACUGGGACUGGGACACGGCCCAGACUCCUGCGGGAGGCAGCAGUGGGGAAUAUUGGACUAUGGGGGCAACCCUGAUCCAGCCAUGCCGCGUGAGUGAUGACGGCCUUAGGGUUGUAAAGCUCUUUUCUCCGGGACGAUAAUGACGGUACCGGAGGAAUAAGCCCCGGCUAACUUCGUG